GGGAUUGUGGCUCAGUGGCAGAGUGCUUGCCUCACACGUAUGAGGUACUGGGUUCAAUCCUCAGUACCA
rfam:Ictidomys tridecemlineatus contig015866, whole genome shotgun sequence.